AGCAGCCGCGGUAAUUCCAGCUCCAAUAGCGUAUAUUAAAGUUGUUGCAGUUAAAAAGCUCGUAGUUGAACUUCGGGGUUUACCCAUUGGUCAGGCUUAAUUGUCUGUACUGGUGAGAUAAAUCUCUACCUUCUGAGGAACUUUCAUGUCAUUAAUUUGGUGUGAUUGGAAAUCAGGACUGUUACUUUGAAAAAUUGAGUGUUUAAAGCAGGCUAACGUCUGAAUACAUUAGCAUGGAAUAAUGAAAUAGGACGGACUGAUUCUAUUUCGUUGGUUUCUAGGAUCACCGUAAUGAUUAAUAGGGAUAGUUGGGGGCAUUAGUAUUCAAUUGUCAGAGGUGAAAUUCUUGGAUUUAUUGAGACUAACUACUGCGAAAGCAUUUGCCAAGGNUGUUUUCAUUAAUCAA
rnacentral:misc_RNA from 1 species